rnacentral:rRNA from 1 species
GCAAGUCGAGGGGUAACAUUGUAGCUUGCUACAGAUGGCGACCGGCGCACGGGUGCGUAACGCGUAUAGAAUCUACCUUAUACUAGGGAAUAGCCUUUGGAAACGAAGAUUAAUGCCCUAUAGUAUGAUUACUUGGCAUCAGGUAAUCAUUAAAGGUUACGGUAUAAGAUGACUAUGCGUUCUAUUAGCUAGAUGGUGUGGUAACGGCACACCAUGGCAACGAUAGAUAGGGGCCCUGAGAGGGGGAUC